rnacentral:rRNA from 1 species
CAGUCGCCACGGGAAUACGAAGGGGGCUAGCGUUGUUCGGAUUUACUGGGCGUAAAGGGUGCGUAGGCGGACUGAUAAGUCAGGGGUGAAAUCCCAAGGCUCAACCUUGGAACUGCCUUUGAUACUGUUAGUCUUGAGUUCGAGAGAGGUGAGUGGAACUGCGAGUGUAGAGGUGAAAUUCGUAGAUAUUCGCAAGAACACCAGUGGCGAAGGCGGCUCACUGGCUCGAAACUGACGCUGAGGCACGAAAGCGUGGGGAGCAACCAGGAUUAGAUACCCCAGUAGUCCCUGUCUCUUAUAC